rnacentral:rRNA from 1 species
GACGAACGCUGGCGGCGUGCUUAACACAUGCAAGUCGAACGGUAAGGCCCUUCGGGGUACACGAGCGGCGAACGGGUGAGUAACACGUGGGUGAUCUGCCCUGCACUUCGGGAUAAGCCUGGGAAACUGGGUCUAAUACCGGAUAGGACCAUUGCCUGCAUGGGUGGUGGUGGAAAGCUUUUGCGGUGUGGGAUGGGCCCGCGGCCUAUCAGCUUGUUGGUGGGGUGAUGGCCUACCAAGGCGACGACGGGUAGCCGGCCUGAGAGGGGUGACCGGCCACACUGGGACUGAGAUACGGCCCAGACUCCUACGGGAGGCAGCAGUGGGGAAUAUUGCACAAUGGGCGCAAGCCUGAUGCAGCGACGCCGCGUGAGGGAUGACGGCCUUCGGGUUGUAAACCUCUUUCAGCAUCGACGAAGCGCAAGUGACGGUAGGUGCAGAAGAAGGACCGGCCAACUACGUGCCAGCCGCCGCCGUAA